CCUACGGGGUGCUGCAGUGGGGAAUAUUGGACAAUGGGCGAAAGCCUGAUCCAGCCAUGCCGCGUGUGUGAAGAAGGCCUUCGGGUUGUAAAGCACUUUCAGUGGGGAAGAAAGCCUUGGGGCUAAUACCCUCGAGGAAGGACAUCACCCACAGAAGAAGCACCGGCUAACUCCGUGCCAGCGGCCGCGGUAAUACGGAGGGUGCGAGCGUUAAUCGGAAUUACUGGGCGUAAAGCGCGCGUAGGCGGUCUGAUAAGCCGGUUGUGAAAGCCCCGGGCUCAACCUGGGAACGGCAUCCGGAACUGUCAGGCUAGAGUGCAGGAGAGGAAGGUAGAAUUCCCGGUGUAGCGGUGAAAUGCGUAGAGAUCGGGAGGAAUACCAGUGGCGAAGGCGGCCUUCUGGACUGACACUGACGCUGAGGUGCGAAAGCGUGGGUAGCAAACAGGAUUAGAUACCCUAGUAGUC
rnacentral:rRNA from 1 species